rnacentral:rRNA from 1 species
UAACGGCGAGUGAAGCGGCAACAGCUCAAAUUUGAAAUCUGGCGCCCGCCCCGGGGGCCCGAGUUGUAAUUUGCAGAGGAUGCUUCUGGCGAGGUGCCUUCCAAGUUCCCUAGAACGGGACGCCGCAGAGGGUGAGAGCCCCGUCCGGUCGGCCACCGAGCCUCUGUGAAGCUCCUUCGACGAGUCGAGUAGUUUGGGAAUGCUGCUCUAAACGGGAGGUAUAUGUCUUCUAAAGCUAAAUACCGGCCAGAGACCGAUAGCGCACAAGUAGAGUGAUCGAAAGAUGAAAAGCACUUUGAAAAGAGAGUUAAACAGCACGUGAAAUUGUUGAAAGGGAAGCGCUCGCGACCAGACUUGGGCCCGUCGAGUCACCUGGCGCUCCCGCCAGGGCACUUCGGCAGGCCCAGGCCAGCAUCGGCCCGCGCGGGGGACAAAGGCCCCGGGAAACGUGGCUCCCUCGGGGAGUGUUAUAGCCCGUCGCGCAAUGCCUGGGGCGGGCCGAGGCCCGCGCACGCAAGUGCAAGGAUGCUGGCGUAAUGGUCCCCAGCGACCCGUCUUGAAACACGGACCAAGGAGUCGUCCUCGUAUGCGAGUGUUCGGGUGCGAAGCCCCUACGCGCAAUGAAAGUGAACGCUGGUGAGAGCCCCACGGGCGCAUCACCGAUCGAUCCUGAUGUUCUCGGAUGGAUUUGAGUAGGAGCAUACGGGGCCGGACCCGAAAGAAGGUGAACUAUGCCUGUGUAGGGUGAAGCCAGAGGAAACUCUGGUGGAGGCUCGCAGCGGUUCUGACGUGCAAAUCGAUCGUCAAACAUGGGCAUGGGGGCGAAAGACUAAUCGAACCUUCUAGUAGCUGGUUUCCGCCGAAGUUUCCCUCAGGAUAGCAGUGUUGGUCUCAGUUUUAUGAGUAAAGCGAAUGAUUAGGGACUCGGGGGCUGUAUGCGGCCUUCAUCCAUUCUCAAACUUUAAAUAUGUAAGAAGCCCUUGUUACUUUGCUGAACGUGGGCGUUCGAAUGCAGCAGCACUAGUGGGCCAUUUUUGGUAAGCAGAACUGGCGAUGCGGGAUGAACCGAACGCGAGGUUAAGGUGCCGGA